rnacentral:tRNA from 1 species
GUGGGAGUAGCCAAGUCUGGUAAGGCAGUGGAUGGGCAAUUUGCCCGUAGUCCUUGGUUCACAAACUUGUCUGUAAAGGCUGAAGAAUUGAGGGUUAUCGUUGGCUCCAUCAUUCGCAGGUUCAAAUCCUGCUUCCCACG